rnacentral:lncRNA from 1 species
AAUUAUUUCCUCAUGCCAAGCCCUCUCCACGCCCCAUUUUAAUGUGCCAAAUGAAUGGAUAAGUAUGAUUGGUUGGCCAUUCAAAUUCAAAAUAAAGUUUGAAUUUGAAUGGGCAAUCAAUCUUUGCACCUUAUCCCUUUUUCUUACGCCCCAUUUAUUACAUGAAAAAAGAUUUCUCAUGAAAUCACUCCAUGCACAAUUUAAGCCAUGCCUCAUGCUUUUAGUGGAUAAGGGAUGAGUUAGUGUCUAUUUGAAUUCAAAAUUUGAUUUGAAUUCAAAUGUGCAAUUACUCAUCUUUAUCUUUUCUUUUGGAUAAGACGUUUGACGUUGUUAUAAAAGGAGGAGAAGAGUGGGGCGUGCAAGAAGAAGAUUUUUGGAAAAAAAAUUUGGGGCAUGAGAAGUCUUGUGCGUGAGAAGGAAGUCCAUAUCCUUCCAAGAGAAAAAGAAAGA